GUUCUCUUAGCCUUUGGAAUGAAGAAGGCUA
rnacentral:sRNA from 1 species